AAGUCGUAACAAGGUUUCCGUAGGUGAACCUGCGGAAGGAUCAUUCGUGUAAGAUCCGGCAAAGAGACUUCGGUCUUGGAGCUACUUUAAACCAUACACUGUGAACAUUUUAAACUACAAAGGUGACCAUGUAGCGUUGGUGGUGGCUCUUGUUCCUUUACGGGGACUUCCACUGCCAACCAGAAGCUGGCUCCUGGGGCAUGCUAACCAUAUUUUCAAUUUGCCUAAAAAACUUUAAAUUAUUACAACCUUUAACAAUGGAUCUCUUGGCUCCU
rnacentral:misc_RNA from 1 species